rnacentral:tRNA from 1 species
GCCGAAGUGGCGGAAUUGGUAGACGCGUUGGUCUCAAAAACCAAUGGGCUUUUAGUCCAUGCCGGUUCGAUUCCGGCCUUCGGUACCA